rnacentral:rRNA from 1 species
UACGUAGGGUGCGAGCGUUGUCCGGAAUUAUUGGGCGUAAAGAGCUUGUAGGCGGUUUGUCGCGUCUGCUGUGAAAUUUCGGGGCUCAACCCCGAACUUGCAGUGGGUACGGGCAGACUAGAGUGUGGUAGGGGAGACUGGAAUUCCUGGUGUAGCGGUGAAAUGCGCAGAUAUCAGGAGGAACACCGGUGGCGAAGGCGGCAUCCUGGACCGGCAUUGACGCUGAGGCGCGAAAGCCAGGGGAGCAAACGGG